rnacentral:rRNA from 1 species
GACGAACUGUCCUAACGUUGUUCGGAAUCACUGGGCUUAAAGGGCGCGUAGGCGGUCCGACAAGUCGGGGGUGAAAUCCUGCAGCUUAACUGCAGAAGUGCCUUCGAUACUGUCGGUCUUGAGGGAGAUAGGGGUGUGCGGAACUUCCAGUGGAGCGGUGAAAUGCGUUGAUAUUGGAAGGAACGCCGGAGGCGAAAGCGGCGCACUGGAUCUCUUCUGACGCUGAGGCGCGAAAGCUAGGGGAGCAAACAGGG